rnacentral:rRNA from 1 species
AUUGAACGCUGGCGGCAAGCCUAACACAUGCAAGUCGAACGAGUGGCGGACGGGUGAGUAAUGUCUGGGAAACUGCCUGAUGGAGGGGGAUAACUACUGGAAACGGUAGCUAAUACCGCAUACCAUCGGGUGUGCCCAGAUGGGAUUAGCUAGUAGGUGGGGUAAAGGCUCACCUAGGCGACGAUCCCUAGCGGGUCUGAGAGGAUGAGCAGCCACACUGGAACUUAGACACGGUCCAGACUCCUACGGGAGGCAGCAGUGGGGAAUAUGGGACAAUGGGCGAAAGCCUGAUGCAGCCAUGCCGCGUGUAUGAAGAAGGCCUUCGGGUUGUAAAGUACUUUCAGUGGGGAGGCGGUACCCGCAGAAGAAGCACCGGCUAACUCCGUGCCAGCAGCCGCGGUAAUAC